rnacentral:misc_RNA from 1 species
GGAAGGACAGCAUAGAUCAUUACCCUCCCCCAAAAGCACCAGUCAAUCCAUUCCUGGAAAAGUAUAGCUGGAUCAAUGAUGAAUACCUGCGCUUCGUUAAACUUCAGUAGAAGCCAAGCCACACACUUGAUUCCUCCAUUUUUACUCUUUAUUACAAGCUUUCUUUCAGUUGAUCUGUUUUUUAUUUUGCCCUUUGGUUCAGUAAUAACAUUCAAUUUUGCUCGUGGCUUCAGCAUGUCAUAUUUCAGCGCGAGUGAAAAGAUUGAUGUAUCUCAUAAUUCUAAAGGUUACA